rnacentral:rRNA from 1 species
GAACGCGAAGAACCUUACCCGGGAUUGAAAUGUAGAUGACAGGCGGUGAAAGCUGCUCUCCCUUCGGGGCAUCUAUGUAGGUGCUGCAUGGUUGUCGUCAGCUCGUGCCGUGAGGUGUCGGCUUAAGUGCCAUAACGAGCGCAACCCCUGUCUACGGUUGCCAUCAGGUAAUGCUGGGAACUCCGUAAGACUGCCGUCGUAAGGCGUGAGGAAGGUGGGGAUGACGUCAAAUCAGCACGGCCCUUACAUCCGGGGCGACACACGUGUUACAAUGGUAUGGACAGAGGGCAGCCACUUGGCGACAAGGAGCAAAUCCCUAAACCGUAUCACAGUUCGGAUUGGAGUCUGCAACUCGACUCCAUGAAGCUGGAUUCGCUAGUAAUCGCGCAUCAGCCAUGGCGCGGUGAAUACGUUCCCGGGUCUUGUACACACC